GACGAACGCUGGCGGCGUGCCUAAUACAUGCAAGUUGAGCGCUGAAGGUUGGUACUUGUACCAACUGGAUGAGCAGCGAACGGGUGAGUAACGCGUGGGGAAUCUGCCUUUGAGCGGGGGACAACAUUUGGAAACGAAUGCUAAUACCGCAUAAAAACUUUAAACACAAGUUUUAAGUUUGAAAGAUGCAAUUGCAUCACUCAAAGAUGAUCCCGCGUUGUAUUAGCUAGUUGGUGAGGUAAAGGCUCACCAAGGCGAUGAUACAUAGCCGACCUGAGAGGGUGAUCGGCUACAUUGGGACUGAGACACGGCCCAAACUCCUACGGGAGGCAGCAGUAGGGAAUCUUCGGCAAUGGACGAAAGUCUGACCGAGCAACGCCGCGUGAGUGAAGAAGGUUUUCGGAUCGUAAAACUCUGUUGGUAGAGAAGAACGUUGGUGAGAGUGGAAAGCUCAUCAAGUGACGGUAACUACCCAGAAAGGGACGGCUAACUACGU
rnacentral:rRNA from 1 species